GAAUUACACUGGUAAUGUAUUUAUAUCUAAACAUGGGAAAGUUAUGUUCAAUUCGUUCUUUUUUUAAUUUAAGAAGAUCUUUGAGAGAAUAUGAUUUAUAAAAUGUUGUUUCUUCUUAACAGGAAAGCAGGAUCCUCCUUUGGAAAAAUGAUCUGAUUACUUACGAUGGCCCAAAUAUGAGAAAACUUUUCAAGAGCCUAUACCUCAUCAAUAAAUAGUCCCCAAACUUAUCUGUGAUCCAUGGGGUCAAGCAUGUGGAUUUGCCAAUUUGGGUAUCAUUACUCAAACUGAUUUAUAUUAUGUUCAAAAUGGCUAUUAGCCUCGUAGAUAGGAAUCUGUGUCUUGUUCAUACAAGUUUAGGACAUAACAUAUAUUUUCAUGGACUGAUGGUUGACUUAGUUUAAAAUGGGGAGGGUUACAUGUCAAUUUUUUAAAGUUAGGUGAAAUUUCUUUUACUAUUUUCUUGGAUAUAGAAAUGGCUUCUUUUACCGCCUCUCUGUAGCCCUCUUACACCUCCACUGGACAUUUUUCUAGUCCCCAUCUCUUUUCUUCUGCCUGGGUUUUGGUUCUAGCUUUGCUUCUCACUGUUGUUUCAGGAAAAUUACAUAACUUCUUGUGCUGAACAUAAAAAGGAUGGAUGUACUGCCCUCACAUUUGCAAGAAUUAAAUAAAGUAGGCAAGUCUAGUGCUUAGCAUAAACCCUAGUGCUUAGAAAGCUUACAAAUCACAUUAGCUGUUAUCACUAUUGCUGUCAUUGUCACAUGCAAACAUUGUUUCAAAAUUUCACUACCUGUAGUGGAAUUCUGGUUUAGCAGGUGAACUAAUCUGAGCAUAUUCUCUUCAGGGUUUGGAAUAUGAUAAAGGAUAUGUAAGCAUUCUUCUUAAAAUUUUUUGUACAGUCACAAAUUAUGAUUGUGUGUGUGCGCAUGUAUGUAUGUAUGUAUUUUUUCUCAAAUAAGUUUCCCCACAUGGUGUUUUGUAGUGUUUGAUUUUAUUUUGUACAUUGAGCUUAUAUUAGAAUGUUAUGAUACAGGAAAGAAGCACAUUUUGUUAUAAUCAUGUUACAAUAACCCUAAAAAAUGCAAAUGCAGGGGCUGGGGUUGUAGCUCAGUGGUAGAGCACUUGCCUUGCACAUGUGAGGCACUGGGUUUGAUCCUAAGCACCACAUAAAAAUAAAUAAAUAAAAUAAAG
rnacentral:lncRNA from 1 species